rnacentral:snRNA from 1 species
AGCUCUGCACAAUGGCACUGUUGUAGCCAAUGAGAUUUAUCUGAGGUGUGAUUAUUGCUAAUAGCAAAUAGAACAAUAGUACUAGCUGUCAACACCAGUAAUAGAAUGACAAGUAACAUUUAUUGAGUGCUAAGUGCAC